GGUCGUUUAGCUCAGUUGGUUAGAGCGUGGUGCUAAUAGUGUAAGCUGUCAACGCCAAGGUCGCGAGUUCGACCCUCGUAAUGACCA